rnacentral:rRNA from 1 species
CUGUCCCUAGUACGAGAGGACCGGGAUGGACACACCACUGGUGGACCUGUUGUUGCGCCAGCAGCAGUGCAGGGUAGCUAUGUUCGGACAGGAUAACCGCUGAAGGCAUCUAAGCGGGAAGCCCCCCUCAAAACAAGGUAUCCCUGAGAGCCGAGGUAGACCACCUCGUCGAUAGGCCAGAGAUGUAAGUGCAGUAAUGCAUUCAGUUGACUGGUACUAAUUGCUCGAUAGGCUUGAU